rfam:Salmo salar isolate Sally breed double haploid chromosome ssa12, whole genome shotgun sequence.
UACACGCAUGACUGUAAGUCACUUUGGACAAAAGCGUCUGCUAAAUGGUAUAUA